ensembl:lncRNA
UGGAGGAUGUUUCUGUUCAUGGUUGAUUAUAUGUUAGUCUCUUUUAUUUUAGACUUUUGGUUACAAAGAAAAAAAAAAAAAGAUAGAAAGAGAAGACAGACACAAACCAGGAGGUUCAGAGUUGUUUUCCUGAUGGACAGCAGCAGAUAACAAAACCGCAGUAACUGUCACAGCCACUGAAUGACCCAAAAGGCAUUCUGUACUGCACACACUAGUAAUAAUAGUACAAUGAAGAACAGUUGAGCAAAUGCUAUAAUUCUAAAGAAGCAGAAAAAGAGCACUACUUUAUAUCAUUUAGUACACCCAUAUUUUUAUGAGAAGAAAACCAGACCUCAUUUCAUUUUCCCCAAGUCUGUCAUCCCCAUUCAGCAGAGACCUGAUCUCUGUUCACAUGUACCCAGAAUCACGGUCUUGCCUAGAUGUUUUGCCUCAAAAUAAGCUCAUAUUGCAGCUAUCUAUCUCCUUAAUUCCAGCACAUCACUGAAAAAUAAAGCCAUAUUUUCCCACUUUUAUUCCCUCAGAGGGGUAUGUUUUCUCUUGCAGUAAUCUUGUUAUGUGACCAGGCAAGGAGUGAGUCUUACACCUGGUAGGACUUGGACAGCCUAUCGCUUAAGAAAAUUUGGAGCUGUAAAGACAUAUUUUAUUUACUGCUGAUGUCAGUGCAGUUACUGCAUAUGUAUUAUCCCUAAUAACAGAAUCCAGCCCUAGAAUACUAGGAAAACAGCCACGGAUUCUAAUCCAGUUAUAUAUAUGAAGGUUCAAACAAGCACAUAAGUCACCAGAAAGCCAGGACUGUGCUGCCUCUUCCUGAGCUCCACCCUGCUCCCCUCAAGAUGCUGUGCUUCUGAUGCUAAUCAAUGGCUUUUACCACAUUAAAUUACUAAUCAGUGGCUAAUCAAUUGCAAUGGCUGCAUUAAAUUACUUUUCACAUUGCUUUCAAAAAUGACAUUCAGCCAGUUUCUCUGCUGCCAGUUUCUAGUGGUCUUAUCAAAUGAAUAUCCUGGGAACAAAGCAUUUCUGAUUACUACAUUACUUAGCAAGCAAAGGUCUGUGUCACACUGGCACGCUGUGGCAAUUGUCUCUGAACUACACCAGGCCCUUUCCUGCAUGGGAACACAUCAAGAAGCGUAGCUUUGUGGAGUGAUGUUCUGAAAUGAUGUUUCAGACUGCUCUGCUCCCAUUGAUCAAGGGGCCACUGGCCAUUACUGGCAAAAGCAAUUACAAAAGUCAGGGAAGAAAAAGAGCAUCAGAACUCUUAAGUUCAGAGAUACAAGUUCUAGCAGGCUGAGUCACAGAUAACCGGGGAGUGGGGCUGCCCCACUCCGAUACCAGCUGCUCUGCCCUUUGGCAUCUGCUGCUGGCAAACCCACAGUGAUAGGGCACCAGGUUGGCUGCCCCCUUGUCUGAUCUCCAGCAGAUGUUCUGCUGUUCGGUUAAGCCUCAGACACAACUGGAGAAACAACAUGGGAGCAACAGUACCAGGAAUGCCUACCAUAUCCAAGUGUUGUGUUUAUCAGCCCUGCGCUCCCACAGGCCUGCCAGCAACCACCACAGGGUCACCAAGAUGCCGGCUUUUGCUGUUUUCAGACCCUCUGCUUUGGACUUCCGGGAGGAGGCAGAUGUGCAGCUUAUCACACACCCCACUUUUAGCAUGCAGAAGGCAUUUCAACACUGCUGUCUUUGCUUGCAGAGUCAUUGCCUUAGGGAAGUGUGUGACCACUGGGCUCCAGCUCGCAGUUCUUGUGCUGUGUUGCUCAACAGUGACAGUUGGGUUUGCAUCAGCCAUCACCCUCUGUGGCAAUGAAGGGCUUCCCCAAUGCCAGAGCUGCUCUUCAGCUGCAGAAGCCUUUCUAACAGAAGGAAAGUGGUUUUGCUGUACAACAUGCAUGCGUGUCUCAAUCCAAUGGGCAUCACUGUAACCACUGGAUCUAGCCUGUCCUGUUGGGACAUGAAAGAUCUCUUUAUCUGCUCUCCUUAAGGCUGACCCCCCCAAAGCCCCACUCACAGCACAACCACCUGCUUCAUCAAACCUCUCCACAGUGAAACAAGACAGACUCGCACCAAACUGUUGCUGCUACAACUGCCAACAAGUUUCAUAAGAGUGGGAGCCAUUUAUUUUUUAAUGUAUGCAUUGCCUUAACAGUCUGCAAUGUUUCCCAAUCUCAUCUGAAGAUUUCAAAUGUAUAAAGACAAAAACAACUCCUUUACCAGCAGCUUCUAGAACGUUGCACAAAUCCAACAAGGCAGAUAAAAAGUGUAUUUUAAGCAGCUCUUCAGCCUUAUCAAGGCAGUGAAUUUACACAUCCAGCACCAAGACAGAGACUAUAUUGGCCAUCUGAGCACACUGCCUGAACAAGGUAUGAGUGUCAGAGCACUCAAAUCUGAGCAGGUUGCAGUGCCAACAGGCAAUUAGACAGGCUGUCUAUGGGGCAGAUGGAAGGCCUUAAUGGGAUCACGGCUGUCCUCAUGGCCUCAUAUUUAGGGGGACUAAAUAUGAAUGCUGAAUCUUAAAGCUGUUUGGCUGAGAAUCAUUUCUGUGUGUUGUAUUGAGGUGUUACCCAAGGAUUUGUAGCUUUUUAGCACAUGGGUUGUUCUGGAAGUCAUGUCUCCCAUUUAUUUCCAUGGAAACUCCAACAUCUACAAAGAGCACAAUAGCACUAUUUGAUAGAGCAAAUUCUCAGCUCUAAAACACUAUUUUUCAUGGAGUCACCACCAGCAGCUGUGCAUUUUCACCAGCAAUGAACAAGAUCCUGCAUGCUGUGCUCAUAAAUAUCUGCAUGGCCAUCCACAACGUCUUGUCUUUCACAUUGUUGUCACCACCACCACUGAAACACAGCACCGACCACCUCACUGUGCCAGCAGCCGCACUCAGGGCUCCAUAAGCACUCAGCGAGCGUCGAUCAGUCUCAAUGGGCACCAUUUUCUCCACACGGAGGAAUUCAGUUCCACCCCUCUGCUCCACUCACACUUCCAUGUCCGGCACCGUUCCCUCAGACCGCCCCUCUGCUGCCAUCUGUCUCACAGCAACAAAAUGUCACCGAAUAUUGGCGGGAAGGUUCAUCCUCGGCUGUCACACACCGACCGACAUCGUGGGCCGACAUCAUAAAAACGGAGGCAUUACUUUCGGAGCAGCCCUCUCAGAUGCGAAGCCCGAGCCGGGUGACUGAUACCAGGAAGAUGUGCUGCGGAGCGCCCGUUUCGCCCCCAGCCGUUGCUCUGCCCUCCUCUGGCGUUGUUCUCGUUGCCCUGACCCGAUUCUCCCCACGAGCUCCGCAACAGGCCCCGCUCCUGCAGAGCCGUCUCGCUCAAAGUCUUACAGCUCCACUCCACCGCGUCCCACGCAGAUGGCUUCACCUGCAGGACUGCGUCACGCCACGACCGCGGAAAGAUUAUGCACUUUCGUGGGAAAAACGAGGGCUGCAUCCUGCUCGGACGGCGGAGAGCCGCAACGCCGUUACGGCAGCGGAGCCCCCCGCACCGCCCGGUCCUACCGCCGAUGUCCGCUCGCCG